rnacentral:rRNA from 1 species
UACGUAGGUGGCAAGCGUUGUCCGUAAUUAUUGGGCGUAAAGCGCGCGCAGGCGGUUUCUUAAGUCUGAUGUGAAAGCCCCCGGCUCAACCGGGGAGGGUCAUUGGAAACUGGGAAACUUGAGUGCAGGAGAGAAGAGCGGAAUUCCACGUGUAGCGGUGAAAUGCGUAGAGAUGUGGAGGAACACCAGUGGCGAAGGCGGCUCUUUGGCCUGUAACUGACGCUGAGGCGCGAAAGCGUGGGGAGCAAACAGG